rnacentral:lncRNA from 1 species
GUUGGACUUUUAUCACUGAAAUGGGAAGCAUGCUAUUGUACCGCCACUGAGGACUGUCCGUGUUGUGCCGGGGCAGAAGAAGGUUUAUGGUUCUUGACAGAAAAGCCACGGUAGUUACAGCUUUAAAAACUGCAGAACGGUCUACCGCACUCUUGCUUGUCCCCUGACACCACAUGGUGCCAGGACCCUAGGAAAAUAAGGUCGAGAGGCAGAGGCAGAAAGGAAACAAACAACACAGCAAGGGGGUGGAGAGUUCAGAGAGAGCCUCUGCCUUGCUGCUGGGUGACCUCAAACCUGGAUUGUGGAGUGUCAGUUCUACAGAAGAUGAACAGCCGGAUGGUUCUUAUUCUUUCCACGACUUCUUGGAAUGAUUGCUGGUAUGUAGAGAGUUACGGCAGACACACUGGAGCACUGCAGUUUGGCACCUUCCCAGCCCAGCUUUCUGUAGAGCUGCUAGCCAAAGGCUGUCUGAAGCUGUUAGCAGGAGAGGUCCAGCUGGCCUCGGGGAGUUUCAGCCUUGGAAUUAGAAGAAAUGGUUCUGGAUCUGGCUUUGUCCCUGACUCACUGAGGUGCUGGCAACUGGCUUCCUACGUGCACGCUUGGAUGUCUGAACGGAGAUCUCCCUCAUCCUUCAUGCCCACCUAGGUGCACGGGAAGCAUCAGGCACUUUCCGUGUCCAGCAAACCCUGGGUAUUCACUCAAACUGAUGGCUCUCUUCCAGGUUUGGAAGGCAUGUGAUGUACAGGCUGAGAGCUAUACGACAGAAGAACUCCAGUGAAGUGCUGAUCGGUGGCUGCAGCGUUUUGCACUGAAGGAAGCAGUGCUCGAUUAUUAGGAUUAUUUUAACUAGGUUAAAAAAUAUAUACAUAGGACUGCAUCCCAAGACAGCACUUACAAGACAGCAUGAAGGAGUGUUAGCUUGCAACAUCCAUGUCUUUGCUUGGCUGUCCCUGCUUUGGAAGACCCUGCUUUCCAGGAUGGAAUUAUUGGUACUGAGUCAUCUAUAUGAAGAUAUUAUAGCAGUGGUCAGAACCUUGGAGACAAACCUUCAUUUCCAUCCGUAGUGGGACUGUUGGAGUGUUUGCAAAACAUUUUACUGCAGCUGUGAGAGGCAAAAUGGAAGCGUAUCUGUUGUCCAGAAGGGCACUCACUGUCUCUUGUUUAGGAAACCCAUCCUAAACUUGGAGGUAGUAGGGGCUCAUCAUGAAAACUCCAUGAACUCAGACAGCAGAGCCCAGCCGAGCUCUCCUUGUACACUAGGUGGUGGUGAGCUGGUUUAUAUUCUUUUUGCGUACCUGAGGUGUUCAUAUUGUGUCGCUUAACCAAAGGCUGGGCAGUGUGAGCGGGCAACAUGGAAUGGCACUUGGGAAACGCAAACGUCAGGGUCUUAUGCAGACUCCAACUCCUUUGAUCAACUCUGAGGCAUAUUUGGACAAACAGGCAACGCUUAGUGAAACAAUGGAAAUGUUCGGUUGAGCCAAUCAGAUAGACAUAUGAGUGAUGCUUGAAUUCAUGAAGGGCUUAUUGGUUUUUCUUAAAGGACUUCCAGAUGGGGUUUGCGUUAUUUCAUGAUUUAUUACAACCCAUAUUAUAAUAUUUAUAACUAAUACAGAGAAUUCUUUAGGAGGUUAUGUGAUAUGUAAUAAGCUGAUGUACGCCAGAUGGCGUUAGGUAAGGGCAGACUCUGGGAAAGCGAAGGGCCUGUGUCGAACAGGGCUUAAAGUAAUUCUCAAGCAUCUUGUAAAAUACCAGAUAGGUUAAAGCAGAAACCGUAACUCGCUUCUAAAAAGGAAGCUUUUCUAAGUUUGAACAGAUUUCCAUCUCAUGUGUGAUUUUUUUUUCCCUUUCAGUUGCAGUUAGGGAAGACUACUGUAUCACAAGCUUUACGUCCAAUCUGAAACUCAGCUGUGAAUGACCUGGGUGCCAAAGAUCCCUUUCCUAAGCGACAAGACAACUGCUCAUAGAAAAACGGGCUCAUUUCUUUUUUACAGUGUGUCUCUAUUCUCUAUCAACUGAGGAAGCACUGUUAAGCACAUUGUAUGUAGCACACACGGCUACACACACAUGUGUGUGUGUAUAUACUCAGACAGUCUGCAGUGGGUGUGCAGUAGGGUGAGAACAUUGAACAGAAGAAUCGCCCCGGAAGAGCAGCAAGUAGAUUCGUCUUCCCCACAGAACCCACGGGGAGGCUCUUGUGACAAAUAACUUCACAAGUGACAGCCAAGAAAAGAUGUUAAAAAAGGAACAUUUUGUUUCAUAAAACAGCACAGUGGCAGAAAACAUACAUUAGACCUUUUGCUCGUGCCGACAGUGCUCUGUGCUCUGCAGGCCUGUAACAUAAAUUCUGGGCCAUUUUUGGAGAAGUAGCUAAUUUUGUUUCAGGGGGGUUAUCCCUAAAGAUAAGUUUUAUCAUUUAAAGCACACUUUUGUGAUGGCGUU